AGCAGGUUGGCUUUCUGUAGGGGCCGAGUGAAAACGUCAAUGCUAAUUUGUUUAGGCUAACAGCUAGUCCUUUUAUUAUGCACGAUGAUUCGGAUAAAUUGAGUGUGUGAUGUUUGGGUGCCGUAAAUGGUUUCUACAACAGGAAGCAGGAGAGGAACUAGAAUAACUGUAAAGAAACCAAUGUAAAUAACAUUCUCAAGUUGAUGGUGUGGAUUCUGUAAAAAGACACAGAGCGUCUCAACCCCCGAGUCCUGAAGCUGGUUCCAGCUGAGGUCCAUCCUUUUCAGGUGGGAUGGGUUGGAGUUCAGAGCGGAGUUCAGAUAAAAGCAGCUGACGCCUGACAGUGUACAAGACUGCAACCUGAAAAUAGUCCACAGUGUGGACUUUCCAGGCCGCUACUUAAGAUCCGUACAUGUUUGUCCUCCAAGUAAUUUCCACUGAGGUCCAGCUCUUUUAAAGGGGAAGUUCUGGACUUCAGAGCUGAGGCAAUGACUUCACAAUGAGUCUCUGAAAGUCGACAGCCAAGUACCUGCAUUGACACCUAAGGUGUUGAACUGCCAACAGUCUGGACUCACCGGGCCUUCUUGCAGUUCCUCACAGCUGAGAUCAGUCUCCAUCGUCCCUCCACUGAUGUGUUGUACUUCUCCAGGUCCAACUCCUCCA